AGUGAACGCUGGCGGCGUGCUUAACACAUGCAAGUCGAACGAGAACGGAUUAUAGCUUGCUAUAAUUGUCAGCUAAGUGGCGCACGGGUGAGUAAUGUAUAGGUAAUAUGCCUCUUACUGAGGGAUAACAAAUGGAAACGUUUGCUAAUACCUUAUACUCCUUAUUAACAGAAGUUAAUAAGGGAAAGAUUUAUUGGUAAGAGAUUAGCCUGUAUUGUAUCAGUUAGUUGGUGGGGUAAUGGCUUACCAAGACUAUGACACAUAACUGGUUUGAGAGGAUGAUCAGUCACACUGGAACUGAGACACGGUCCAGACUCCUACGGGAGGCAGCAGUGGGGAAUAUUGCACAAUGGACGAAAGUCUGAUGCAGCAACGCCGCGUGGAGGAUGACACAUUUCGGUGCGUAAACUCCUUUUAUAUGAGAAGAUAAUGACGGUAUUAUAUGAAUAAGCACCGGCUAACUCCGUGCCAGCAGCCGCAGUAA
rnacentral:rRNA from 1 species